GUGAACGCUGGCGGUAGGCCUAACACAUGCAAGUCGAACGGCAGCACAGUAAGAGCUUGCUCUUACGGGUGGCGAGUGGCGGACGGGUGAGGAAUACAUCGGAAUCUACUUUUUCGUGGGGGAUAACGUAGGGAAACUUACGCUAAUACCGCAUACGACCUACGGGUGAAAGCAGGGGAUCUUCGGACCUUGCGCGAUUGAAUGAGCCGAUGUCGGAUUAGCUAGUUGGCGGGGUAAAGGCCCACCAAGGCGACGAUCCGUAGCUGGUCUGAGAGGAUGAUCAGCCACACUGGAACUGAGACACGGUCCAGACUCCUACUGGAGGCAGCAGUGGGGAAUAUUGGACAAUGGGCGCAAGCCUGAUCCAGCCAUACCGCGUGGGUGAAGAAGGCCUUCGGGUUGUAAAGCCCUUUUGUUGGGAAAGAAAAGCAGCAGGUUAAUACCCCGCUGUUCUGACGGUACCCAAAGAAUAAGCACCGGCUAACUUCGUG
rnacentral:rRNA from 1 species